UACGUAGGGUGCGAGCGUUGUCCGGAAUCAUUGGGCGUAAAGCGCGCGUAGGCGGCCCUGUAAGUCCGUUGUGAAAGUCAAAGGCUCAACCUUUGAAAGCCGAUGGAUACUGCAGGGCUGGAGUCCGGAAGAGGCGAGUGGAAUUCCUGGUGUAGCGGUGGAAUGCGCAGAUAUCAGGAGGAACACCAAUAGCGAAGGCAGCUCGCUGGGACGGUACUGACGCUGAGGCGCGAAAGCGUGGGGAGCGAACAGG
rnacentral:rRNA from 1 species